rnacentral:lncRNA from 1 species
ACAUGGCUGCUGCUUCAAAUCUUAUGUGAAUUCACCUCAUCACUGGAACCAAAUUUAUAUCUAAUAAAAAGGCUGUUACUCCGGAACAAAUGCCACUCUCCUCCCCACUCAGCUCCAAACACAGUGUGAUUGUAAUGAACACCUAUCCUGAUGAGGAAUGCAGGCUGCAUCUUGGAGAAAAUUCAAAUAGAGGUCCAUUUGAAAAUGGAAGAUAUGUAGUUACCAAGGAAACUCGCUGUGAGUCAACAAACUGGCUUAACUUCGAGCUUUGUUGAGUUUAUUCCAUACAGAAUUAACUUGCUAUUCAUUUUUACCUACUCUCCUAAAAUGCUAGGAAUC